rnacentral:rRNA from 1 species
UACGCAGGGGGCUAGCGUUGUCCGGAAUCAUUGGGCGUAAAGAGCGUGUAGGCGGUCCGGUAAGUCCGCUGUGAAAGUCGGGGGCUCAACCCUCGAAUGCCGGUGGAUACUGUCGGGCUAGAGUGCGGAAGAGGCGAGUGGAAUUCCUGGUGUAGCGGUGAAAUGCGCAGAUAUCAGGAGGAACACCCGUGGCGAAAGCGGCUCUCUGGGACGGUACUGACGCUGAGACGCGAAAGCGUGGGGAGCAAACAGG